rnacentral:ncRNA from 1 species
UAGCCCAUCGGGGCCUCGGAUAGCUGCUGUGU